rfam:Camelus ferus unplaced genomic scaffold scaffold719, whole genome shotgun sequence.
AGGGGUAUAGCUCAAUGGUAGAGCAUGUGCUCGGUGUGCACGAGGUCCUGGGUUCAAUCCCCAGUGCCUCUG